rnacentral:tRNA from 1 species
UCCCAGGUGGCUUAGUGGUAAAGAAUCUGCCCGCCAAGCAGAAGAUGCAGGUUCAAUCCCUGGGGCGGGAA